AUGGCAUCUUUGGGAACAGGAUGGUAAACUUCCUUGACGUAACUGGAAGAUAACAGAAGACUAUGCAGGUCUUGUUAUAAACAGUGCUGAAAACAUCGCAUGCUUAUUUAAAUUCUACUACGUAAAUAAUGACUCUAGCUGAUUGUUAAUCGUAACAGUACUGCGUCCACUAACGCAUUGAGCACUUGUUGUGACCAUGAGUCGGCUGUGGCUGCUAAUCGUUACUUAUCACAAAAUCAGAUGAACAUAAUGCUGAUAAGCUGUUUGUGGGUUUCCGGAAGGCUGAUUGCUACCGUACACAUGCAUACCUCAAAUACUUACGAAUUCAAUCGAUUUCAACAAGAUCAUUCGUUCUACGAAUGCGGGGUGUAUCGUGCAUCCUGACACCAAGAAAAAAUAUGCAACGUUGCUGGCUUCCGAUGGAUCGAUGACAAUAAGCCGCCAACUUAACUUAUUACAAUUACCGAUCAUGAAGUAAGCAAUGGAGCAAAAAAUCAGCGUGGGAACCGUACGUCGUGGCAGAAUGUCACAAAAAACUUUUGCCAGGAAGUAACUGGACACGCGAUAAAAGCCACUUGCGUUUUCAUGCCUAAAAAGUAUCAAUAUUUUUAGCACAAUCAGCAUUGAAAACACGCGUAUUGAUUAAAGGCAAACGUUUAAAUAAAUGCUCGAGUAAGACAACUGAAACUUACACAAAGAUCCUCCGCUCUUUGACGAAAAGU